rnacentral:rRNA from 1 species
UACGUAGGGGGCAAGCGUUGUCCGGAUUUAUUGGGCGUAAAGAGCGUGUAGGCGGCUUUACAGGUCCGUUGGGAAAACUCGAGGCUCAACCUCGAGACGCCGGUGGAAACCGUAAAGCUAGAGUCCGGAAGAGGAGAGUGGAAUUCCUGGUGUAGCGGUGAAAUGCGCAGAUAUCAGGAGGAACACCCGUGGCGAAAGCGGCUCUCUGGGACGGUACUGACGCUGAGACGCGAAAGCGUGGGGAGCAAACAGG